GACAACUCGCGGGGAUUGUUUUCCACACCGUGGAAGCUUUGUUCUUUUCGUUUUUUGCAAUAAAUCUUGUUGCUGCUCGCUUUUUGGGUCCACAUUGCUUUUAUGAGCUGUACCACUCACCGUGAAGAUCUGCAGCUUCACUUCAGAGCCUAGCGAGACCACAAGCUCACUGAGAGGAACAAACAACUCCAGACGCGCUGUCUUAAGAGCUAUAACACUCACCGCGAAGGUGUGCAGUUUCACUCCUGAGCUAGUGAGACUACGAAGCCACUGGAACGAAGAAACUCCAACCACGUUUGAACAUCAGAAGGGGCAGACUCCAGACGCUUCAUCUUAAGAGCUGUAACACUCACUGUGAAGGUCUGCAGCUUCACUCCUGAGCCAGCGAGACCACGAACCGAUCUGAACAUCAGAAGGGACAGACUCCAGAUGCCCCACCUUAAGAGCUGUAAUACUCACUGCAAGGGUCUGCAGCUUCAUUCUUGAAGUCAGACCAAGAACCCAGCAAUUCCCAACACACAGGGACCAGCUUCUUUCCUAACUCACUUAGGCUCUUCGUGCUGCUCUGGCAACUAACACCCUUGGCUGCAGGGGCUUGGACACUACCCUUAGUCACUGACAAUUGUGUGAAGGCUGCUGUCGUUAACUUCACUUGAUCACCUUAGGCUCCUGUGAAGUGGUGAGCAAUUCAAACAAAUUCCUGUCGUCAAAUCAUGAGUCCACCUGUCCCGAGUUGGAAGUCUGAACUCAUGUUCCUGGAUUCCUCCCAUGCAUCUUGGUGCUGGUGUGGGGCCUGAACUCAGCCAAUCCGCAACACCUCCAGGAGUCUUCCUCUUAGAUGCUGAGGCCACGGAGAAGGAAGCAGCACAAAGAAUGAACCCUGGAGAGGGUGCCAGAGGCAGGCGGGUUCCAGCCAUGUGGCGGCACAGCCUUACUGGGAUAGUCUAGCUGUGUCACUCAGAUGGAGAAAUUGCACUGCAGAGAAAUCUUUAAAAGCAAUUACCUAAUACUGCAGAUUGCUGAACUGUACCCACACCCAAGACUGAGCAUUGGAUCAAUCCAGAAUAUACAUCAGGUGUUCUGCAAUGUCUGCCUAAAACCAUGACUCUGCCUCCUCCAGCUGUUGCUACAUCUCACUAUGGGUUUCCUGUGACAUUUUGAGCAAGUAUGCCUCUGUGACUGGGGUUCUUACACUCCAGAAUGGAUGAGAAGCACCGUAAGUGGCUUUUAAAAUGAAUAUUCCCUGGCCCUUCAGUCGCUCUAUAGGUCAAGAAUCUGAAUUCUCAACCUGUCUAGAAGGUUCUGGUUUUAAUGGUCUGUGGGCUGCACAUUGAGAAACCUGUUCAGCGAGUGCAACAAAGGUUCCACAUGUGAGAAAGGAAGCAUCAGGUCUCUUGAGCCUGUUCUUUAAUCUGUAGGCUGCACCUUCUCUUUAAAUUCUGCUAAUAACACCAUGCGAGAAAACACCCGAGCUUGAAAAGCCCAUGUUCCAACAUAACUGUCCUUCACCACUCUGGAAAAUUAAUGGUUUGUUUCGAUUAUCCCUUUGUUAAACUCCAAAGUCAAAGAGCUCUGAAAGGCAUACGGUUAUUUUAAGUUUCAGGUGAUUUCUGUUGCCAAAUAUUUUAAAAAUUUAAAAUUGCUACGUGACCUCUUAGUAGUACUAUUAGAUUUCCUGACAAUAAAAAUAAGUCUUUUGGUUUCACCAUUUAUAGUUAGUACAGCUAAUAUUAAGUAUAAUUUUAAAAGCCUUUUAUUUUCUCAGAAAGAAAAAAUAAUCAAAAUCUGCUCAGUGUGGUAUUGAAUAAUUAAAAACAAAAGAACAGUAUCUUCACAUUAGUGUUUAAUAUUAAUUGCUUUUUUACCCUUG
rnacentral:lncRNA from 1 species